UUGGAAGUUUCUGUGGCCUAUUGGAGAUUUCUUGAAAUUUGCUAAAUUGUCUGACAUUUUUAGCCACAAAAUUUUCAGCUUUACUGUACAUAUGUAUUACUUUAUUGUUCUUAGGGCGAGAGGACUCAUUCUGAUGGUCCAUUACCUUCUGGUUGGUCAGCAAGGGAAGUAGAUAGACAUGUGUUUAGAAGCUCCAGUACUAAGUCGACAGAACCAGUUCUUAUGAAGAAAGCAAAAACUGACAAUGUUGGAUUUGGUGGUUUAGAUCAAGAUCAUUAUGCUGAAUGCUAUCCUGGUGGUAUGGAAGAAGUAGAUGCAACUGUCAAUAGUGAUGAUGAAAUCGACUUCU